rnacentral:lncRNA from 1 species
UAGUACACUUUGAAGAUAAGAAAUGAUAUGUUUCGGAUGCGUAUCGGAGCAAUCAACCAAGGCAUCAAAAUUACUUCUGUUUUUCUUAAAAUGAGAUUUUAUUUAGAAAUCAUAUUGAGUUUAAGCUUUUAUACAAAAUCAGAUUCUGAAUUUCAUAAAGAUUUUCAAUAGAGUCUUUCAAAGUCAUAAUUUGAGAUAUGGAUCUUCCACAUUGUAGCUCAUCUUAAAUCAUUACGAUUGAAAACACAUAUUUCAAACAUAUAAGAGCAUAUUCAGAAUAUUUGUAUUUAUGUUGAGUUUUGGUAUGAGUUAGCACAUUAUAUACCAAAGUUAAGCAAGUUGAAGGAUAAAACAAACUCAAA